rnacentral:rRNA from 1 species
AUGAGUCUACAUGUUAUUAAAAUUGGGAUGCGACUCACCCUACUAAAAGCGGUCACCUGCUUGCAUGUAGCAGCUGACCGAAUAAAUAUAUACUCCCUCCGUUCCAAAAUUCUUGUCUUAGAUUUGUCUAGAUACGGAUGUAUCAAGGAUUUUGGGACGGAGGGAGUAUUAUAUAUGAGCUUUUUUAAGAUAUGUAUAUGUUCACUUUUGUACAUCAGAGAUAAAAGUCAAUGGAUGCGGAUGAUGCUACUGUUGAUCGACAAAGUCACUGACGUAGUUAUGAUUGACCAGACUGAAAACUCAUCAAACUUUACAAAAUCAGAAGAGAUGUAUACAAAUUAUGGUUCUUCUUUGUAUAUAAACUACACACAAUAA